rnacentral:rRNA from 1 species
UACGUAGGGUGCGAGCGUUAAUCGGAAUUACUGGGCGUAAAGCGUGCGCAGGCGGUGAUGUAAGACAGAUGUGAAAUCCCCGGGCUUAACCUGGGGAAUUGCAUUUGUGACUGCACGGCUAGAGUGUGUCAGAGGGGGGUAGAAUUCCACGUGUAGCAGUGAAAUGCGUAGAGAUGUGGAGGAAUACCGAUGGCGAAGGCAGCCCCCUGGGAUAACACUGACGCUCAUGCACGAAAGCGUGGGGAGCAAACAGG